GGAGAGAUACCCAAGCGGCCAAAGGGACCAGACUGUAAAUCUGGCGGCGUAUGCCUUCGAAGGUUCGAUUCCUUCUCUCUCCACCA
rnacentral:tRNA from 1 species